GACGAACGCUGGCGGCGUGCUUAACACAUGCAAGUCGAACGCUGAAGCUUGGUGCUUGCACUGGGUGGAUGAGUGGCGAACGGGUGAGUAAUACGUGAGUAACCUGCCCUUGACUCUGGGAUAAGCCUGGGAAACUGGGUCUAAUACUGGAUAUUACAUGCCACUGCAUGGUGGUGUGUGGAAAGGGUUUUAGUGGUUUUGGAUGGGCUCACGGCCUAUCAGCUUGUUGGUGGGGUAAUGGCCUACCAAGGCGACGACGGGUAGCCGGCCUGAGAGGGUGACCGGGCACACGGGGACUGAGACACGGCCCAGACUCCUACGGGAGGCAGCAGUGGGGAAUAUUGCACAAUGGGCGGAAGCCUGAUGCAGCGACGCCGCGUGAGGGAUGACGGCCUUCGGGUUGUAAACCUCUUUCAGCACGGAAGAAGCGAGAGUGACGGUACGUGCAGAAGAAGCGCCGGCUAACUACGUG
rnacentral:rRNA from 1 species